CAGUUUCCCACGCGACUACACUCGGUUAAUUUUCUCUCUUAAACCCUAAACACCACGACUACACUUCGUUUGCCUCCUCUUCCUCAUCCUCCUCCUCCGACCAGCACCCAACUGCUCUCUGCCUCAGCCUCUGCCUCCACUCUCCUCCGCCUCCGCUAUCCUCCUCCUCCUCUUCCUUUUGGCACACCUGUUCUCUCAUCUCUCUUCUCCAAUUCACCAGAUCUGCUAAAGACGCAGUCCACGCCGGAGCUCCGCCUUGCCCCUCCUCCUUCUCUUUUCUCCUUCCACCCCGACGUGUAUCGGGCUCGUGGUCAACUGAUCUUGCUCUUGGAAACUUGGUUCGAUUCAGAAAUUUUCAAGCUCGGAUACAAGAGUAUGUUGAAACUACAAGCUUCUGUCAAUUCUGGAGGUAAGGAACAUAAAAUUAAUGUUGACAUUUAUGAAUAAUUUUCAGAUGGGUUUGUUUUGAUUUUUGUUGUGUUCUUGAUUUUAUUUGGUCAUUUUUGUUUCCUGGUGGGUUUUUGGG